CUUAACACAUGCAAGUCGAACGAUGAUCUCCCGCUUGCGGGGGUGAUUAGUGGCGAACGGGUGAGUAAUACGUGAGUAACCUGCCCUUGACUCUGGGAUAAGCCUGGGAAACCGGGUCUAAUACUGGAUACUACUUCCUGCCGCAUGGUGGGGGGUGGAAAGGGUUUUACUGGUUUUGGAUGGGCUCACGGCCUAUCAGCUUGUUGGUGGGGUAAUGGCUCACCAAGGCGACGACGGGUAGCCGGCCUGAGAGGGUGACCGGCCACACUGGGACUGAGACACGGCCCAGACUCCUACGGGAGGCAGCAGUGGGGAAUAUUGCACAAUGGGCGGAAGCCUGAUGCAGCGACGCCGCGUGAGGGAUGACGGCCUUCGGGUUGUAAACCUCUUUCAGCAGGGAAGAAGCCACAAGUGACGGUACCUGCAGAAGAAGCGCCGGCUAACUACGUGCCAGCAGCCGCGGUAAUACGUAGGGCGCAAGCGUUGUCCGGAAUUAUUGGGCGUAAAGAGCUCGUAGGCGGUUUGUCGCGUCUGCUGUGAAAGCCCGGGGCUCAACCCCGGGUCUGCAGUGGGUACGGGCAGACUAGAGUGCAGUAGGGGAGACUGGAAUUCCUGGUGUAGCGGUGAAAUGCGCAGAUAUCAGGAGGAACACCGAUGGCGAAGGCAGGUCUCUGGGCUGUUACUGACGCUGAGGAGCGAAAGCAUGGGGAGCGAACAGGAUUAGAUACCCUGGUAGUCCAUGCCGUAAACGUUGGGCACUAGGUGUGGGGGACAUUCCACGUUCUCCGCGCCGUAGCUAACGCAUUAAGUGCCCCGCCUGGGGAGUACGGCCGCAAGGCUAAAACUCAAAGGAAUUGACGGGGGCCCGCACAAGCGGCGGAGCAUGCGGAUUAAUUCGAUGCAACGCGAAGAACCUUACCAAGGCUUGACAUUCACCGGACCGCACUGGAGACAGUGUUUCCCUUCGGGGUCGGUGGACAGGUGGUGCAUGGUUGUCGUCAGCUCGUGUCGUGAGAUGUUGGGUUAAGUCCCGCAACGAGCGCAACCCUCGUUCUAUGUUGCCAGCACGUGAUGGUGGGGACUCAUAGGAGACUGCCGGGGUCAACUCGGAGGAAGG
rnacentral:rRNA from 1 species